rnacentral:rRNA from 1 species
GACGAACGCUGGCGGCGUGCUUAACACAUGCAAGUCGAACGGGAGUAUCAAAGAAGCUUGCUUUUAAGAUACUUUAGUGGCGGACGGGUGAGUAACGCGUGAGGAGCUGUCCUAUGCAGGGGGACAACAGUUGGAAACGGCUGCUAAUACCCCAUAAGCCGAGAGGUAAAAGGAUUUAUCCGGCAAAGGAGGCACUCGCGUCCUAUCAGCUAGUAGGUUGGGUAACGGCCGACCUAGGCGAAGACGGGUAGCCGGCCUGAGAGGGCGAACGGCCACACUGGAACUGAGAUACGGUCCAGACUCCUACGGGAGGCAGCAGUGGGGAAUAUUGCACAAUGGGCGAAAGCCUGAUGCAGCAACGCCGCGUGAGCGAUGAAGGCCUUUGGGUCGUAAAGCUCUGUCCUUGGGGAAGAAUAAAUGACGGUACCCUUGGAGGAAGCCCCGGCUAACUACGUGCCAGCCGCCGCGGUAA